AAAUCGAUUCUUCAGGCCGUUCAACAAUAACAUCUGCUACUUUAUUUACGUGGACAGCAUCUAUUACGAUAAAAUCCGUAAAAGCAGCCGUUAUCAAAAGCACAUUCUCCACUGACGAUUGGAUAAGAAUCCCCAAAUUGU